AACGUAGGUGGCGAGCGUUAUCCGGAUUUACUGGGCGUAAAGGGUGUGCAGGUGGACGGUUAAGUGGUGUAUGAAAUGUCCCAGCUCAACUGGGAGAGGUUAUGCCAGACUGGUCGUCUAGGGUAUGGGAGAGGGAUGUGGAAUUCCGGGGUGUAGUGGUGAAAUGCGUAGAGCUCCGGAGGAACACCAGUGGCGAAGGCGGC
rnacentral:rRNA from 1 species